rnacentral:lncRNA from 1 species
UCCUCUAAUACAAUUUUUUAGUUCCCCCAAAUAAGGAGGAUUUAGUAUUAUGAAAAAAAGUUAACUCCCAAAGCUCUCCCCUCCCAUUUUCCUCUAUUUCUUUCACUUGAUCAUUCUUUUUUUCCCAAAUCUUCCCUUCUCUUCCCUUUCAAACUUGCAAACAAAGCCUAAGAAAAUUACCACACAAAAAGGAGAUCAGAUGGUGAUCAAUAAAAUGGGUCGGAAAUCUCUCAACUUCCUGAGUGGUUUUCUAUCCAAAACUUUUGCAAGACUCCACCAUAUAAGGACAUGGAAAAUGUUGUGUACACCUCAUGUGGGUGUAUAUGCCAUCAAAGUCAAACAAAGAGGAAAUGAAAUAAAAAGAUAGUCAUGUGAUAGAUGUGUGAUAGAGCAAUGAUAAGUGAACACAAAAAUAUAGACACAAAUACGACAUCAUGGAUAGAUUGGUAAUUUCCUUUAAAAUACAAUGGCAUAAUUGAAAUUCUAAUUGAUUUCACUCUUUUUUAUUCUUUUUCAACCAUCGCUGAUGCUGUUCACUCACCAUCAUCCUAAACCCUAAACCCUAAACCCUAAACCCUAAAACAGAUCUGCAUCGGCGAAGGCGAGGUCUGUGAGAAUCUCAGUCGCGAAAACACUGUAAAAGAGUGGUCGUCGGUGAUGAGGACAGAACGGUCGCCGGUGAUUAAGACAGAACGGUCGGCGGUGAAUUUGGUAGAUCAGUGUCGGUGAGAGAAUGAGAGAAAACUGUGUUUGAUUUGAUAAGAGUGGAAGAGACAUGUACUGGUGUGAGAGGAUGAGAAAAUAAACAAACAAAUAAAAUGUAUAAGUGAACGGUUUGACCAUAAUCCUUUCCUUGCUGGUCUAUGUUUUAUCCCUAACUGGGAGCUCAAUGAGAUAAAUAUAUCUUGCACCACUAUUAUUGUUUCUUUUUAGGUAUUAUCUUCUAUUGUCCAAGACAUCUUUUGGAGCCAGAUCACAACCUUAUCUAGAUUUAGGCUUCUAUAAUUAUUAUGUCAAUUGAAUAA